rnacentral:rRNA from 1 species
AAACUCAAAGGAAUUGACGGGGGCCCGCACAAGCGGCGGAGCAUGCGGAUUAAUUCGAUGCAACGCGAAGACCCUUACCUGGGUUUGACAUAUGCCGGAAAGCGCCAGAGAUGGUGCCCCUUUUUGUCGGUAUACAGGUGGUGCAUGGCUGUCGUCAGCUCGUGUCGUGAGAUGUUGGGUUAAGUCCCGCAACGAGCGCAACCCUCGUCCUAUGUUGCCAGCACGUUAUGGUGGGGACUCAUAGGAGACUGCCGGGGUCAACUCGGAGGAAGGUGGGGAUGACGUCAAGUCAUCAUGCCCCUUAUGUCCAGGGCUUCACGCAUGCUACAAUGGCCGGUACAAAGGGCUGCGAUGCUGUAAGGCGGAGCGAAUCCCAAAAAGCCGGUCUCAGUUCGGAUUGGGGUCUGCAACUCGACCCCA